UCCCUCAUAGCUCAGUGGUAAAGAAUCUGCCUGCAGUGCAGGAGACCCAGGUUCAAUUCCUGGGUUGGGAA
rnacentral:tRNA from 1 species